UACAGAGGUCUCAAGCGUUGUUCGGAUUCAUUGGGCGUAAAGGGUGCGUAGGUGGCGCGGUAAGUCGGGUGUGAAAUCUCGGAGCUUAACUCCGAAAUUGGCAUUCGAUACUGCCGUGCUUGAGGACUGGAGGGGACAUCGGAAUUCACGGUGGAGCAGUGAAAUGCGUGGAUAUCGUGAGGAACACUAGUGGCGAAGGCGGAUGUCUGGACAGUAUCUGACGCUGAGGCACGAAGGCCAGGGGAGCGAACGGG
rnacentral:rRNA from 1 species